CCAAAAUGGCGGCCGACGAGUAGGGAGUGACGGCGUCUCUCUGUUUUUCUCGCAAUUUUUGUUGAUUCCACGGGGAAAUCAAUGUUGACCGCUGGCGGCCGAGCCUGUACGAUCCCCCCCCGAACUGCCCAAACAAUGACGCUACCCAAAAUGGCGGCCAACGAGUGGGGAGUGACGGCGUCUCUCUGUUUUUCUCGCAAUUUUUGUUGAUUCCACGGGGAAAUCAAUGUGAGAUCAGCGAGAGAAAUUCUUGGCGGCCGAGCGUGUACGAUUUCCCCCGAACAAAGACGCUACCCAAAAUGGCGGCCGACGAGUGGGAGAUAACGGUGUGCCUUUGUUUUUUUCGACAUUUUUAUUGAUUCCACGGGGAAAUCAAUGGUAAAUUAUUCAUAUUUCUAUUAAAAAUUGUUCAAUUGUCAUUGAAUAAGGCAAGGAAUUGAGGGCAUAGAUAUUUUUUCGUUAGAGAAAAGUAAUUUGAUGGAAUUUCGGAUCAAGACCACAAAUGGAGUUAGAGAUCCAGGAAAUCUUUUGAAAAUAAUAUAUUUAAUUUCAUGACCAUCCCCAAAUGAUUCUCGAGCCAUGAAAAUUCAUGACAAUUGAAAAUUAAGGAUAAAUUUGGGACUUUGAUGUUUUAUCUGUAGAGAGGGUCGGUAAAUUAUCGUAUUUUUUUAUGUUUAAUGAACAAGAUGGCCGCUGGGAUGUCGCCACACGAGUUGAACGUCAGUUUAUUUCAAUUUUUGCCGGUGUGUGAGGUGUGUGAGUGAACGUGAGUGAUAGUGCGCGAACAAUUGAAUGUAGUGAAAUUUAGUGAAAAGAACAAUGACAAUUAGUGUUUUGUGGUGUUCCUGAGAGCUGGAGUUUCAUCAGGAUCUUCAGGAAUCUGGAAGCUGAGGACAACUCGACAGCGGAUAGAAUGCGGAGAGAUUCUACCCGG